UACAGAGGUCCCAAGCGUUGUUCGGAAUCACUGGGCGUAAAGGGUGCGUAGGCGGUAUAGUAAGACUUGGGUGAAAUCUCCAUGCUUAACGUGGAGGGAGCCUGGGAGACUGCUGUGCUAGAGGAUUGGAAGGGAGACUGGAAUUCUUGGAGUAGCAGUGAAAUGCGUAGAUAUCAAGAGGAACACCAGUGGCGAAGGCGAGUCUCUGGACAAGACCUGACGCUGAGGCACGAAGGCCAGGGGAUCAAACGGG
rnacentral:rRNA from 1 species